UAUUGUCCAUUCAUUUCAUAUCCCUUUGGAUUUCUUAGAAAGACAAAAUCUAAAAUAAAAAUAAAAGAGAAGCAUGUAGAAGUACACGUAAACAUAUUCUCCAAAAUAAGCCCAACGAGUCCCAACAAACACAAGACCAAGUUACAUAACACUAAGCUGUAAAGUUAAAAGAGAACCCCUCCAAAGACGUUAAAAGCCAAAAAAGCAUAUGACACUGACAAUCUACAAAGAAAGAAAGCUAAAGCCUUUGGAUUUUGAUUCACAGGAAAGUCUUGGCCGGACUCCAACCAGCCGGCCCUGAGAUUUAUAAGUAGAAGAAUGUUUCAUCUGGACUUCGGUAAUGGCAAAAGAUGC